AGAAAAGACCCGUCACAUCUUGGAAGAAAAACAAGGUUUAUAAAGGAGUUAUAAUCUAUAGAGAGGAAAUUUUGUUAGAAGACUUAAGAGCUGUAGAGUCACUUGCAGAUAAGGCCUGAGCAGCGUCAAGGAGAGAGUUUCGCAAACACAUACCCUCCAACAUUUCACAGAUGAAAAUGGGGACAUCCUAAGGAAAAGUGAUGGGACGCGGGUGGCGCUGUGGGUAAAACCUCAGCGCCUAGGACUUGCGGAUCGUCAGGUCGGCGGUUCAAAUCCCCGCGGCGGGGUGCGCUCCCGCUGCUCGGUCCCAGCGCCUGCCAACCUAGCAGUUCGAAAGCACCCCGGGUGCAAGUAGAUAAAUCGAGACCGCUUACUAGCGGGAAGGUAAACGGCGUUUCUGUGUGCUGCGCUGGCUCGCCAGAUGCAGCUUGUCACGCUGGCCACGUGACCUGGAAGUGUCUUUGGACAGAGCCGGCCUCUUAAGCGAGAUGGGCGCGCAACCCCAGAGUCGGACACGACUGGCCCGUACGGGCAGGGGUACCUUUACCUUUACCUUUAAGGAAAAGUGGGACAUUCCAGGGUCAAAUCAGAAACUGGGACAGCUUCUGUAAAUCUGGGACUGUCCCUGGACACUUGGAGGGUUUGCAAACAUGACUCAGCUGCCAGCUCUACCUAAAGAAACUAGCUUUACCACUAUCAGAUAAAUCCUAAAAUAUUAACAUAGGAACAUAGGAAGUUGCCUUAAUAAGGAGUUGAAUCCACUGGUUCAUCUAACUCAGUAAUUGUUUGGAUUUGAUAUCCCGCUUUAUCACUACCCUAAGGAGUCUCAAAGCGGGGCUAACAUUCUCCUUUCCCUUCCUCUCCCACAACAAACACUCUGUGAGGUGAGUGGGGCUGAGAGACUUCAAAGAAGUGUGACUGGCCCAAGGUCACCCAGCAGCUGCAUGUGGAGGAGCGGGGAAGCGAACCCGGUUCACCAGAUUACAGGUCCUCCGCUCUGAACCACUGCACCACACUGGCUCUCUCAGUACUGUCUCCACUGGCUGGCAGUGGCUGUCUAGAGUUGCAGAGAAGGGCUGUCUCUCAGCUCUACCUGGAGAUCCCAGGGAUCGAACCUGGAAUCUUCUGCAUGUAAGACGGAUGCUCUACCACUGAGCUAUGUCUCUUCCCUCCCCCCCCCCCUGCCUUGGAAAUCCAACUGGAGAGGAAUUUCCUGCAUUGCGGUUGCUCAGUCUUCAUUCAGCUACUAAUUCUACCCAUAGAGACUCAGCCCGCAGCAUCCACUAUUAGGCCUUGCCCACAUCACACACCUAGCGCUUGGGAAGUACAGGGUGGUUCUCCACAGUACCGGGAGGCAUGAUCAAGGCUAAUACCAUCACAAAAGCACCGAGUUUGUUUUCUAAAAAAAGCGAAAGAACUCCAAAGGGAAGAUAAAAGGGUGUAGUGGCAUUUGACGAGGGCAGUGUUACAGCUGCACCGUUUCAAUUUGAUACUGUAAUUUACACUGUGACCUGUCUAUUAACCCCAAUCCCCUCUCUCACUGUUCAAGAUGCACCUACUACAGCGAUUCAGGUGCGGCUGAAUAGCCUCUGUCAUUGUCCUGGCCUGCCAUGAGGUUUCUCAACUCAAUGCUACCCCUUGAAUGACACUCUGUCAUUAUACUAUAUUUAGGUAAUGAAAGGUGUAAUUUAGCUUUGUUCUGUUGCAAGCCAAUCCGGGCCUUGUAUGCAUCGGGAUAGGUAAUAAAAUAGGCGUGCGGAUAUAAAAAGCCUGAAUAAGCAUAUUAUUCAGCGUAAUUUCACAAGCCAAAACUGAUGAAAGAACCGAGGGGUACAAAAGCCUCGGCCACUUCAAUGCCUGACAACGAGAACUGUCAUUAGGGGGCUGUACAAAGAGACAGAUUAAGGCUGGACACGGGAUCUACGUGGCCCAUGAUUAAUCAAUCCCCCUUAUGCUAUGGAAGCUGCUCCAUAAUUGAUGGCAUUUGGUGAUGAUUGCUUUCCAAUUACAGGACUCUCUCCUGUCGUUCACGGCGGAAUAUUGCUUUGUACGACUAUCAUCAGCCUUUCCAGACAAAGCAUUGUCCUGGACUUGGCAUCUUUGUGGAACUGUCCUCCUGUCAUCAUAAUUGUUCUGUCUGGACAUUGUUCCGGACUUCAGCCAUCUGCUUUAUCACACCCCCACCC